GGGGGUAGAUGAGUUCCGGUGGGCUCCGCGGUCUUCAACACCGUUGUAAGGGGUUAGUAGCCUCUUGGGUGGGUUCGAUUCCCACGUACCUCCGCCA
rnacentral:tRNA from 1 species